GCUAAGGGGGCGCGGGGAUCCAGAGGACUGCAAAUCUAAGGGGAUGCUGGGGUCAGGCGGGAGAACGCCUCGGAUUGCCGGCAGGACUGGGCGGACACCGGAUCUGAGGGGACACGGGACUGUGAGCGACCCUGGAUCGCGAGGUCUGACAGCAUCUUGCGGGAGGGGAUGUCUCAGGGAUGCCGGGUCCCUCCGCCCGCCGCCACUCCCCGGCCGCGGCGCUCGCCGGGCCUGGGCACCCACCUGGCCUCCAGCAGCAGCGGGGUCUCGGGCCACUUCGCAGUCAAGUGGGCGGUCACCGCCUUGGACGCAGUCGCCGUACUGGCGCCGAGCAGGGCGAGCCACAGCGCGACGGAGCGCAGGAGCAGCCUCAUCCCCUUCGUGGCUCUGGCCCGCACCAAGGCACGCCGAGGGAAGCGCGAGACGCCACGCUACGGUCUGGUCCUCCCGGUGCUCCGCCGUCCACUUCCGGUGGGGGGAGCUGCAGUCCGUUAGUCCGCCGGUCGUGGGCGUGCGCAUGCGUGGCCAGCGAGGUCCAGGGGCGCAGUGGGGGGAGCCCCCGGGUGGACAUCGGCCCCUUGCCUACGCAGGGCCGCCGCGAGGAUUUUCGGAGGGUCCGCCGCCGGGUCUGGGGAACCCAGCCUUCCAUGCCAAUCUACCACUAGCUGGAGCUGCCCCAGCCCCGCUGGUCAGGGACCCUGGGUGAGGGCCAGCUUUUCGGUUAGCAUCACCUGGGGGGAGCAGGAGCGAGAGUAGGCCUCAAAAAUGACGUAAAAAGGCGCAGGCGACUCCUGUGUGCACUGUUGGGAGAGCUGUGAUUUAUCUACCAGUGGGCUUUCCCUGCUCUCUGGCUGGUUCUGAGGGCUGGACCUCGCUCCCCGCCACCGCCACCCCCACCCCCCAGGAUUCAGUGGUCUCCUGCUGCUAUCAGAAGUGGCAUCUCAGGCCUGCCACUUGCUUUUGGAGUUGGAUGCAGAAGUGUCCUGACUCUCAGCCCCUUGGAAGGCCCAGGUGAUUCCUGUGCCUGGACAAGACUGAGAGGCGCUGCUUCAAGAGAUUACAGCUGAAUAGAAAAAGAAAAGUCGGAAAAUGAUAGCAGUGAAAUUUUUCUUUAGAAGAUGCUGUUCAAAAAACUGCUCAAGUGAAUCUCGACGCCAAAGUGGCACUGACUUCUCUCCCAGUGACUACUUUUGUCAGCUGUCGCGUCGCUGGAUUUUCACUUUAGGACCUGAACGCAGAGCUUACUUACUUCCUACUGUAGAUGGCACUUUUCUCUGAGGACUCAUGCCUCACUCAUUUCUGGAACAAUUUAUGCCGAGGAUCAAGACCAUCUCUCCAGGGUUGUUUCUUUGCCUGAAGAUAAGAGGACACAAGUGGGUGACCUUCACAUUUUUUUCUCUAUGGAAUUGCCUGGUGCAGGCAGAAAAACCCAACUGCAAAAACCCAACAAAGCACACCCUGAUACCAUUCAUUUUAAUCCAGUGUGAAUACAUUCCCAGCUCUUAGCUAGAGGUGCAGAGCCCUAUUUGAAGGACCCACACGGUCUGCCCAAAGGUCAUCCUUUCCUCCGGCUCACAGCUGUACUGGAGGAAAAUGGGAAUUCCAGCACACCCCAAGAAGGUUCAGAGACGCUGUUACGGACGUUUGAGGAUGAGCUGGGUGAAAAUUAGAUUAUGACCUGGAGAUCUGACUGUAGAAUUGAUUACUAUAAGGUGUUAUAAAACAGCAUUUUUAGGAGAUGAAUAAAACUUUGUAAAGUACUACUGUCAAAUGAUUUAGCAAAAGCAUGUAUUCUCAGGAUGUUAAAAUUGCUGAAAUUGCAAAGCCUGCUCACUAGGUGGGGAUCCAUGCCUGGUCCUGAAGGCUUACUGCUUGUGGCUGGAGAGGACACAGACCCCAGCUGAGAACCUUCUGCUGUUGUUUUCCGAAACCAAUGUAAUUCCUAGCUAUAUUGCAACUACGUACAACCCUGUAUGUGUAGCUAUCACUGCCCAUCAAAGACAGCUCUCUCUGUAGCAGAGAGAAGCUAUUUCAGAGACCCACAGCUGGUCACAGUGCAGAAGGUAAUUGAGUGUGGGGUUCUCAGCCCCAGCUGGUCCAUCUACACUGUGAGAUCCCUCUGUGAGGCUCAGUGAGCAUCAUGGAAGAAGGUGCAGGAUGAUUGUCAGAAUCAGAGGACCUGGACACCUGCUGCUAGACAGCGUCUCCUGGACAUGGCAUGGAUACAGCCCCAUGAAAUCUUACCUACCUGGCUGUCUAAACAAGACCUACCCCAAGACCAACAUGCUGAGGUGGAUGGAGGAAGUUUCACAAGCGUUUUCUUUGUAGUUAAACUGGUUGACCUUCCCUGUGCAAAGUAGAACUAGAAGACCGUGUGAGGCUGGAUCAUGAAUCCUCUUCCUUGUAUGUGGCAGAAGCAACUUGGCUUUCUCUUGUUUAUAAACUUUCAAGAGUCUGAGGCACAUCGGUCAAAAGAGAAAAGGGACAACCAUCCGAGUCAGAGGCAUCAGGGAAGAACAGGCACUCAAAGAAAUGUUACAGGAGAAGUUCGAGGAUCAUGAAGAACGACCAGCAAAGAGGAAGCAAUGGAUUUUCCCUACAGGUUUCACAAGAACAAGGCCCUACUGACAUCUUGAUUUCUGAUCUCUAUCCAUAAAAACUGGAUAGCUUCUGUAAAUUUAAGAGAAAAAAAUAAAGAACACAAAAGC
ensembl:processed_transcript Gm16835 predicted gene, 16835